rnacentral:rRNA from 1 species
UACAGAGGUGGCAAGCGUUGUUCGGAAUUACUGGGCGUAAAGGGCGCGUAGGCGGUCAGGUCAGUCCCGUGUGAAAUCCCUCGGCUCAACUGAGGAACUGCACGGGAAACUGCCUGGCUUGAGUUCGGGAGAGGGAAGCGGAAUUCCGGGUGGUAGCGGUGAAAUGCGUAGAUAUCCGGAGGAACACCGGUGGCGAAGGCGGCUUCCUGGACCGACACUGACGCUGAGGCGCGAAAGCUAGGGGAGCAAACGGG